GAUGAACGCUGGCGGCGUGCCUAAUACAUGCAAGUCGAGCGAACGGACGAGAAGCUUGCUUCUCUGAUGUUAGCGGCGGGCGGGAGAGUAACACGUGGAUAACCUACCUAUAAGACUGGGAUAACUUCGGGAAACCGGAGCUAAUACCGGAUAAUAUUUUGAACCGCAGGGUUCAAAAGUGAAAGACGGUCUUGCUGUCACUUAUAGAUGGAUCCGCGCUGCAUGAGCUAGUUGGUAAGGUAACGGCUUACCAAGGCAACGAUGCAUAGCCGACCGGAGAGGGUGGUCGGCCACACUGGAACUUGGCCACGCUCCAGGCUCCUACGGUACGGCGCAGUAUGGUAUGGUCCGCAGUGGUCGGAAGCCUGACGGAGCGAGGCCGCGCGAGUGAUGGCGGUCUUCGGAUCGUGAUACUCUGUUACUAGUGAAGAACAUAUGUGUAAUUAGCUGUGCACAUCUUGACGGUACCUAAUCAGAAAGCCCCGGCUAACUACGUG
rnacentral:rRNA from 1 species